rnacentral:rRNA from 1 species
UACGUAGGGGGCUAGCGUUGUCCGGAAUCAUUGGGCGUAAAGCGCGUGUAGGCGGCCCGGUAAGUCCGCUGUGAAAGUCGGGGGCUCAACCCUCGGAUGCCGGUGGAUACUGUCGGGCUCGAGUACGGAAGAGGCGAGUGGAAUUCCGUGGUGUAGCGGUGAAAUGCGCAGAUAUCAGGAGGAACACCGAUUGCGAAGGCAGCUCGCUGGGACGUAACUGACGCUGAGACGCGAAAGCGUGGGGAGCAAACAGG